UGUAACGAUAAAAUAGGUGAGAAACCUAUUCGCCGUAAGACUAAGGAUUCCGGGAUCUAUGUUAAUCAGAACCGGGUUAGUCGGGGCCUAAGGUGUAGCCGAAGGGCGAAGCCGAUGGGAAACAGGUUAAUAUUCCUGUACAUGUAUCAGCUGUGAUGGGGUGACGAAGGAGCGUAAGGUCCGCCCACUGACGGAAUAGUGGGUUGAAGGGAGAAGGCGUUGAAGAUAUAGGCAAAUCCGUAUCUGAGCUGAGACCUGAUAGUACACAAGUCCUUAGGGAUGUGUGAUAGUGACCGUAAGCAAACUUCCAAGAAAAACCUCUAAACUUCAGGCUGACACAUCCCGUACCGUAAACCGACACAGGUAGUCGAGGAGAGUAUCCUAAGGCGCUCGAGUGAUCCGUGGCUAAGGAACUAGGCAAAAUGGUCUCGUAACUUCGGGAGAAGAGACUCCCCUCGUGAGAGGGGACGCAGUGAAGAGGCCCAGGCGACUGUUUAACAAAAACACAGGACUCUGCAAAAUCGUAAGAUGAAGUAUAGGGUCUGACACCUGCCCGGUGCUGGAAGGUUAAGGAAGGGGGUUAGUGCGUAAGUGCGAAGCUCUUAACUGAAGCCCCAGUAAACGGCGGCCGUAACAAUAACGGUCCUAAGGUAGCGAAAUUCCUUGUCGGGUAAGUUCCGACCUGCACGAAUGGUGUAACGAUCUGGGCGCUGUCUCAGCCACGAGCUCGGUGAAAUUGAAGUAUCGGUGAAGAUGCCGAUUACCCGCAACGGGACGGAAAGACCCCGUGAACCUUUACUACAACUUCACAUUGAGCUUGAAUACAGGAUGUGUAGGAUAGGUGGGAGGCUAUGAAGCUGUGACGCUAGUCAUGGUGGAGCCAACGUUGAAAUACCACCCUUCCUGUAUUUAGGUUCUAAUCCCUAAUAGGGAAACAGUGUGUGGUGGGUAGUUUGACUGGGGUGGUCGCCUCCAAAAGAGUAACGGAGGCUCGCAAAGGUACACUCAGCAUGGUCGGUAAUCAUGCGAAGAGCGUAUUAGUAUAAGUGUGCUUGACUGAGAGACCGACGGGUCGAUCAGGAACGAAAGUUGGCUAAAGUGAUCCGGUGUUUCCGCAUGGAAGGGACAUCGCUCAAAGGAUAAAAGGUACUCCGGGAUAACAGGCUGAUCCUACCCAAGAGCUCAUAUCGACGGUAGGGUUUGGCACCUCGAUGUCGGCUCGUCACAUCCUGGGGCUGGAGAAGGUCCCAAGGGUUGGGCUGUUCGCCCAUUAAAGUGGCACGCGAGCUGGGUUCAGAACGUCGCAAGACAGUUCGGUCCCUAUCUGUUGUGGGCGCAGGAAUAUUGAAGGGGGCUGAUUCUAGUACGAGAGGACCGAAUUGGACGUACCGCUAGUGUACCGGUUGUGGCGCCAGCUGCAUCGCCGGGUAGCUAUGUACGGCACGGAUAAGCGCUGAAAGCAUCUAAGCGCGAAGCCAUCCCUAAGAUGAGUAUUCCAGCACGUAAGUGUAAAGGACCCCAGAAGACUACUGGGUUGAUAGGUUAUAGGUGGAAGUGCAGUAAUGUGCGUAGCCGAGUAAUACUAAUUGUCCGACAGCUUCCUUUG
rnacentral:rRNA from 1 species